rnacentral:rRNA from 1 species
GACGAACGCUGGCGGCGUGCUUAACACAUGCAAGUCGAACGAUGAACCCGGAGCUUGCUCCGGUGGAUUAGUGGCGAACGGGUGAGUAACACGUGAGUAACCUGCCCUCGACUCUGGGAUAACUGCGGGAAACUGUAGCUAAUACCGGAUACGACCCUCGGCGGCAUCGCCAGGGGGUGGAAAGAAUUUCGGUCAAGGAUGGACUCGCGGCCUAUCAGCUAGUUGGUGAGGUAACGGCUCACCAAGGCGACGACGGGUAGCCGGCCUGAGAGGCGGACCGGCCACACUGGGACUGAGACACGUCCCAGACUCCUACGGGAGGCAGCAGUGGGGAAUAUUGCACAAUGGGCGCAAGCCUGAUGCAGCGACGCCGCGUGAGGGAUGACGGCCUUCGGGUUGUAAACCUCUUUCAGCACCGACGAAGCGCAAGUGACGGUAGGUGCAGAAGAAGGACCGGCCAACUACGUGCCAGCAGCCGCGGUAA